GAUGAACGCUGGCGGCGUGCCUAAUACAUGCAAGUCGAGCGAACAGACGAGGAGCUUGCUUCUCUGACGUUAGCGGCGGACGGGUGAGUAACACGUGGAUAACCUACCUAUAAGACUGGGAUAACUUCGGGAAACCGGAGCUAAUACCGGAUAAUAUUUUGAACCGCAUGGUUCAAUAGUGAAAGACGGUUUUGCUGUCACUUAUAGAUGGAUCCGCGCUGCAUUAGCUAGUUGGUAAGGUAACGGCUUACCAAGGCAACGAUGCGUAGCCGACCGGAGAGGGUGAUCGGCCACAUUGGAACUGAGACACGGUCCAGACGCCUACGGGAGGCAGCAGUAGGGAAUCGUCGGCAAUGGGCGGAAGCCUGACAGAGCAACGCCGAGUGAGUUAUGAAGGUCUUCGGAUCGUAAAACUCUGUUAUGAGGUAAGAACAGAUUUGGAAUUAAAAGUGGAGAGCUUGACGGUACCGGAUCAGAAAGCCACGGCUAACUACGUG
rnacentral:rRNA from 1 species